AGUUCAGUGCCUGAAUAAAGGGUAGCUUUGAUAGAGCUAAUCAUGUAGAUUUCUACCUGUACUA
rnacentral:tRNA from 1 species